AUUGAACGCUGGCGGCAUGCUUUACACAUGCAAGUCGAACGGUAACAGGUUAAGCUGACGAGUGGCGAACGGGUGAGUAAUGCAUCGGAACGUGCCCGGUCGUGGGGGAUAACGCAGCGAAAGCUGCGCUAAUACCGCAUACGAUCUGAGGAUGAAAGCGGGGGACCGUAAGGCCUCGCGCGAUCGGAGCGGCCGAUGUCAGAUUAGGUAGUUGGUGGGGUAAAGGCUCACCAAGCCGACGAUCUGUAGCUGGUCUGAGAGGACGACCAGCCACACUGGGACUGAGACACGGCCCAGACUCCUACGGGAGGCAGCAGUGGGGAAUUUUGGACAAUGGGCGAAAGCCUGAUCCAGCAAUGCCGCGUGCAGGAAGAAGGCCUUCGGGUUGUAAACUGCUUUUGUACGGAGCGAAAAGGCUCUCUCUAAUACAGGGGGCUCAUGACGGUACCGUAAGAAUAAGCACCGGCUAACUCUGUGCCAGCCGCCGCGGUAA
rnacentral:rRNA from 1 species